ACUAUGUGGCCGGAAGUUGAACUCCCGGGCAGCUCCCUUGUGUGCGGCUUCUUUAAAGGGAAGGCAGGAGGCGGACAGCUUGGCUGUGACCCUUUAGCGCUGGGUCGCGUGUGGCCCACCCUCGGCCUGAGGCAUUGUUGGGUGGUUGGAGGUGGUUGUAGUAUUUGGAAAAGAACUUGUCCCUGAAGGGCUCAGGGGACUUGGUUUCUCAGCUCCUAAUAUGGAAAAUUAAGGCAUUUCUUACGAGAUGCAGAUUUUAAAGCAGGCAUAUCUACUCGACGGCUUUGGAUUACUGCACUGCACAAAUUCCAGUCUCUGUCGGUUUUGGCUGAGAAGAGCUGUGCUUCUCACCAGCUACUGGUGAGACAUUCGCCCUACAGGAAAGGGUCGGUAUGAUUGUGGACAUUGACAUGCGUAGCAAAAGAAAGUGGCUAAUUUGCGCCAAUAAUAAUAAAUUAGCUUGUAUUUGAAUUAGCCAAGUCUUUGCGGUUUUGCUAACUUGGCUUCACUUUGCAUGGAGUGGGAAGCGCCUGCUUCUGAAAAGGUGACUUUUUUCCUAAUUAGAAUGGACUCCUCUUAAGGCCAUGCAGUUUUCAAAGAAGAAAGACAAGCUGGACGUUUUGUUAGUAACAAAAUGUAUGUGGGUCCUAUUCUAACUUGUUACAGAAAAGGGCUUUUUCCCCCAUCUUUUUUCUUUCAACAUUUUCUAGGCUGUUGGGGAUAAAAAAUUAACGAGACAGGUCUUCCUUCGCAGACAUAUAAAUACCUGAUACAUAAUUAGAAUGUGAUAUUUUUGCACCUCUGUUGGUUAGAGAAGGCAGACAAGAUUGCAAAGUAGUAUUUCAUUCAUUCCUUUAAUACAUUUUAGUACCAAGUAAGUUGCUGGAUGCUGUCUGUCACUGGAGAUGCCAUAGUGGAUCACGGAGCUUAUAUCUUCAUGGAGCUUACUGUCUUUUUUUUUCUUAUUGCUAUUUUUUAAUACAUACUUAUAUGUUUUUUUGUUUUUGUUUUUGCUUUUGUUUUUUUUUUUUUUUGAAACGGAGUCUCUCUCUGUCGCCCAGGCUGGAGUGCAGUGGCACGAUCUUGGCUCACUGCAACCUCCGCCUCCCGGGUUCAAGCGAUUCUCCUGCCUCAGCCUCCCGAGUAGCUGGGACUAUAGGCGCCCGCCACCAUGCCUGGCUAAUUUGUUGUUGUUGUUGUUUUUGAGACGGAGUCUUGCUCUGUCGCCCAGGCUGGCGUGCAGUGGCGCGAUCUCGGCUCACUGCAAGCUCCGCCUCCCGGGUUCACGCCAUUCUCCUGCCUCAGCCUCCUGAGUAGCUGGGACUACAGGCGCCCGCCACCACGCCCAGCUAACUUUUUGUAUUUUUAGUAGAGACGGGGUUUCACCGUGUUAGCCAGGAUGGUCUUGAUCUCCUGACCUCGUGAUCUGCCCACCUCGGCCCCCAAAGUGCUAGGAUUACAGGCGUGAGCCACCAUGCCCGGCCACACAUAAUAUGUAUUACAUAUAAUACAUGAAUGUUGGAUACUUAUAUUCUUGUUUACCUGAGAAUGCAGAAGACUGUGCCCCUUUUUUUUUUUUUUUUUUUUUUUUUCCCACUUGAGACGCAGUCUCGCUUUGUCACCCAGGCUAUAGUACAGUGGCGCCAUCUCAGCUCAUUGCAACCUCCACCUCCCGGGUUCAAGUGAUUCUCCUGCCUCAGCCUCCCAAGUAGCUGGGACUACAGGCGCACGCCACCAGGUCCAGCUAAUUUUUUUUGUAUUUUUAGUAAAGACGAGGUUUCACUACCUUGGCCAGGCUGGUCUCUAACUUCUGACCUUGUGAUCCGCAUUGACAUGAUACUAUGGUAUAUGUCCAACUGUAGGGUCCAGCCUUACGGGGCUUAGCGGGUGUUCUCCCCGUGUUCAGAGACGAGAGAUUGUAAUAAAUAAAGACACAAGACAGAGAGAUAAAGAGAAAACAGCUAGGCCCGGCGGACCGCUACCGUAAAGAUGCGGAGACCGGUAGUGGCCCCGAACGGCUGGGCUCGCUGAUAUUUAUUGCAUACAAGACAAGGGGGCAGGGUAAGGAGGGUGAAUCUUUUAAGUGAUUGACAAGAUGAAGCAAGUCACGUGAUUACAGGAUGGCGGGGGCCUUCUCUUUUAGGUAGCUGAAGCAGAGAGAGAAGGCAGCAUACGUCAGCAUUUUCUUCUCUGCACUUACAAGAAAGAUCAAAGACUUUAAGACUUUCACUGUUUCUUCUACCGCUAUCUACUACGAGCUUCAAAGAGGAACCAGGAGUAUGGGAGGAGCAUGAAAGUGGACAAGGAACGUGACCAUUGAAGCACAGCACCACAGGGAGGGAUUUAGGCCCCAGGACUGCAGGCAGGCCUGGAUAAUAUCCAGCCUUCCACAAGAAGCUGGUGGAGCAGUGUUCCCUGACUCCUCCAAGGAAAGGAGACUCCCUUUCACGGUCUGCUAAGUAACGGGUGCCUUCCCAGACACUGGCGUUACCGCUUGACCAAGGAGCCCUCAAGCGGCCCUUACGCGGGCGUGACCGAAGGCUCACCUCUUGUCUUCUAGGUCACUUCUCACAAUGUCCCUUCAGCACCUGACCCUAUACCCGCUGGUUAUUCCUAGGUUAUAUUAGUAAUGCAACAAAGAGUAAUAUUAAAAGCUAAUGAUUAAUCAUGUUUAUAAUAAUGAUUGAUAAUUGUCCAUGAUCAUCUCUAUAUCUAAUUUGUAUUAUGACUAUUCUUAUUCUAACUAUUUUCUUUAUUAUACUGAAACAGUUUGUGCCUUCAGUCUCUUGCCUCGGCACCUAGGUAAUCCUCCACCCACAUCCUACUCUUGGACAACAGGAAAAUUAGAAAAGAUAAUGGAGAGCUUUUUCAGAAUGUUGAAUUUAGGAGUUGUGUGUGCUUUUGAUCUCCAUGUCAAUCCAUAAACAAUAAAUCCUGUUCUUAAAUUUGAAUUUUCUGCCUAAAAAAGAAUUGGAGAUGUUAAUAGAUUAAAAUAUAUGCUGCUGGUUUAAGCAUUUUACGGUAUUUUAGGCCAUGAAAUAUAAAUAAGAAUAAUACAGAUUUCAAGGCCGGGCGCAGUGGCUCACGGCCUGUCACCUCAGCACUUUGGGAAGCUGAGGCAGGCAGAUCACCUGCAGUCGGGAGUUCAAGACCAGCCUGACCAACAUGGAGAAACCCUGUCCCUACUAAAAAUACAAAAUUAGCUGGGUGUGGUGGCACACGCCCACAAUCCCAGCUACUUGGUAGCCUGAGGCAGGAGAAUCGCUUGAACCUGGGAGGCAGAGGUUGCAGUGAGCCGAGAUUGCGCUAUUGCACUUUAGCCUGGGCAGCAAGAGUGUAACUCCAUCUCAAAAAAAAAAAAAAAAAGGAAUACAGAUUUCAGGAAAUUUAGAAUUUAGCAUAGUACCUCAAAUGUAAAAAGGAAAUGUAUAAAGCUGUGUUAUAUGAAUAAAUUAAAUGAAUGAAUCAUUUAUAGGCCUGUGAGCCAUAGGAGAGCCAAAAAUCAUGGCAUACACUUCUCAAAUAAUGGCCCUUCACCAUUUUUCAAAACCUUUACUUGGAUAAACCUGUACUUGCUGUGGUAGUUUUUAUUGGUAUGCGUUUCAAAUGCUCACAUGGCAUCAUUUAAUAUUUUUUUUGUAACAAACAGAACCAGUUUUUCUUUUCAUGCUGUUGUCAACAAUUAAGCCUAGAUAAACAGCUGUGAAAAUAUAGGUAGUUAUUUAAGUUCAUGAAAAGGUACAUAGUUAUUUUUUAAGGGAGGUGGGGAGUGGCAUCUAGGGAGAAUACCAGAAGACAAACUGAUAUUUUAUUCUUAUUUUGCGUAUAUGUAUCUUUAGGUAAACUCUGAGGUAAGAUUGCUGUUUUUAAGUUAAAUAGUACCAUCCAAAUUUUAUUUAAUUAAAUUAAUUUAUUUAUUUAAGACAGGGUCUCACUCUGUCAACCAGGCUGGAGCACAGUUGCGCAAUCAUGGCUCACUGAAAUCUCAACCUCCCAGGUUCAAGUGAGCCUCCUGCCUCAGCCUCCUGAGUAGCUGGGACUACAGGUGUAUAUCACCAUGCCCUGCUAGUUUUUAAAAUUUUUGUAGCAUAUGUUGCCCAGGCUGGUCUUGAAUUCCUGAGUACAAGCAAUCCUCCCAACUUGGUCUCUCAAAAUGCUGUAAUUAUAGGCAUGAGCCACUGCACCUGGCUGCUAUCCAAAUUUUAAAAAUUAUUUUUCAAAGUUUCAGAUAUAAUAGUCUUAAAAGUUAAAUAGUUUAUAUAAAAACGACGCACUUCCCUGUUCUGUCCUUCCAGACCCUUGAGUCCUGUUCUUUAUAAACAGCCUCACAGUCUCUUUCAACUCAUAGCUGUUUCUUUUUUUUUUUUGAGACACGAUCUCACUAUGUUGCCCAGACUGGAGUGCUGUGGCUAUUCACAGUGGCUGUUGUGGCACACUACAGCCUCUAACUUGGCUCAAGCAAUCCUACUGACUCAGCCUCCAGAGUAGCACAAACUAUAGGCGCUCACCACCACACCCAGCCUCAUAGCUGUUCUUUAGCUCUUUGUACCCUUGCUUCUGAGAAACAUGUUUACACUCUGGUUUCUACAUUUAACAGUUGUAGGCUGAGUGCUGUGGCUCAUGCCUGUAAUCCCAACACUUUGGGAGGCCAAGGUGGGAGGAUUACUUGAGCCCAGGCGUUCGAGGCUGUAGUGAGCUACGAUGGCACCACUCCACUCCAGCCUGGGUAACAGAAUAAGAUCGUCUAAAAAAACCCAAAACACUGUAUUGCAUUCACUGGACAGAAAAAAAUAAUUGUAUAUAUUGUUUAUUGAUUUAUUCCCAUGGAAGAUGAGGAUUUAGUUCUUUCCUUUCAUAUCAUUCUUCCUCCUAUUGCUCCAAUCUUCCAGUUAUUAAACAAUUUUUUAUUACAUACUCAAAGAUUAAAGCAUUAGAGCUAUGUAAGUAUUCACCACUAAGUCAGGUAUUUUACUGUGAUUUAUUUUUGUGUUAAACUUUUUGUCUGUCUUGGAAUUAACAAUUGCCUCAAAGAAAAAAAAGAACAAACAAAAAACAAAAGUAACCCAGUUGCCUCAUUAUUUUGUUUAUUUGCUUAAUUCUUCUCUUCCCACUAACUUAGCCACAGAGUUAGCAGUAUGAUCAAUCAUACCAAGUUAUUCCUUAGGUCCAUUUUAAUACUGGGUACAUCCUUCCUGGAACACUCACUUCUCUUGCUCUGCUCCGGACUUCUCUUUUAUAAGCCUGCUACACAGGUGUCAUCCUGGGAUUUCUCUUGAUCACUUUUUGAGGAAUCCCUUCUAUGUUGAUUCCUUUGUUUCUUGGAUCUCCUUUUUCUAAAACGAUGCAUUUUUUUUUUUAUAAUAGAGAUAGGGUCUCCCUCUGUCACCCAGCCUGGAAUACAGUGACAUGAUCGUGGCUCAUUGCAGCCUCAAACUCCUGGGCUCAUGUGGUCCUCCUGCCUCAGCCUCCCAAGUAGCUAGGAUUAUAAGCACAUGCCACCAUACCUGGCUCAUUUAAAAAAAAAAUUAUUUGUAAACAUAGGUUCUAUGUUGUGCAGCCUUAUCUCAAACUCCUGGCCUCAAGUGAUCCUCCUGCCUUGGCCUCCCAAAGUGCUGGGAAUAUAGGUAUGUGCUAUGACACCCAGCCAAACA
rnacentral:lncRNA from 1 species